AAACUCAAAUGAAUUGACGGGGCCGCACAAGACGGAGGAACAUGUGGUUUAAUUCGAUGAUACGCGAGGAACCUUACCUGGGCUUAAAUGUAGAGUGCAUUUUUAGAGAUAGAAAUUCCCUUCGGGCUUUCUGCAAGGUGCUGCAUGGUUGUCGUCAGCUCGUGCCGUGAGGUGUCGGGUUAAGUCCCAUAACGAGCGCAACCCUUAUCGUUAGUUGCCAUCUGGUAAUGCAGGGGACUCUAGCGAAACUGCCACCGUAAGGUGAGAGGAAGGUGGGGAUGACGUCAAAUCAGCACGGCCCUUAUGUCCAGGGCUACACACGUGUUACAAUGGUCGGUACAGAGGGCAGCUACCUGGUGACAGGAUGCUAAUCUCGAAAACCGGUCUCAGUUCGGAUCGAAGUCUGCAACUCGACUCCAUGAAGUCGGAAUCGCUAGUAAUCGCGUAUCAGCGUGACGCGGUGAAUACGUUCCCGGGCCUU
rnacentral:rRNA from 1 species